rnacentral:tRNA from 1 species
GGGCUCGUGGCUUAGCCAGGAUAUAGCGCUGGCCUUCUAAGCCAGACGCCUCGGGUUCGAAUCCCGACGGGCCCGCCA